rnacentral:rRNA from 1 species
GGGGGAAUAUACACAUCCCCCGUCCCUCUUAAACUAGGAUUAGAUACCCUAUUAUUUUGAACUAGAUUAAUAUUACCAGGUUAGUAGUAGUUAUGUGCUUGAAAAUUAAAGAAGAUGGCGGUAUUUUAGUCUAUUCAGAGGAACCUGUCCUAUAAUCGAUGAUCCACGAUUUAUUAUACUUAUUUUAUAAGUUUGCAUAUCGCCGUAGAUGGAAUGUCCUUAAAGGGUUUAUAAACAUUCAAGAGGUUUUUAUUUGUGAAAUUAAAUCAGGUCAAGAUGUAGCUAAUAAAUAAGAAGAGAUGGGUUACAAUAAAUUUAUUUAUAACGGAUUAAUAUAUGAAAUUUAUUAUAAAGGUGGAUUUGAAGGUAAUUUUAUAUAAAUUUAUAAAAUGAUUUUAGCUCUAAAAUAUGUACACAU